rnacentral:misc_RNA from 1 species
AAGUCGUAACAAGGUUUCCGUAGGUGAACCUGCGGAAGGAUCAUUAUCACGUUGCAAAACACUUAUCAACCUUGCGUGCACUCGGUUCCUUCAGAGCAUUUAUUGGGUUUGGUGGUUUUGGGUUGUUUGUUGAAGUGGUUUGGAACACCCGCCAUCUUUGGUUUUGACAGUCUUCUGAUUGUUUUGACCAGCCCUGUUCUGAAGAGCUGUUUUUUUGCGGUACCACCUCAGCCGCGUCUUGUUUCACCUUUUUUCCUUUUUAAACCCCUGUACGAUUCAUGAACUGAUUUGGUUUUUUUGUCUGGUCAUUCAGUUGAUCUUGCGAAAGAAUUCACUUACAAAAACAUCAAAACAACUCUUAACAACGGAUAUCUUGGUUCCC